rnacentral:tRNA from 1 species
AGGUAAAAGGCGGACUGUAAAUCCGCUGGCUUACGCCUUCAGUGGUUCGAAUCCACUCCUGCCCA